rnacentral:rRNA from 1 species
UACAGAGGUCUCAAGCGUUACUCGGAAUUACUGGGCGUAAAGCGUGCGUAGGUGGUUUGUUAAGUCCGAUGUGAAAGCCCUGGGCUCAACCUGGGAAUGGCAUUGGAUACUGGCAGGCUAGAGUGCGGUAGAGGGCAGUGGAAUUCCCGGUGUAGCAGUGAAAUGCGUAGAGAUCGGGAGGAACAUCUGUGGCGAAGGCGACUGCCUGGACCAGCACUGACACUGAGGCACGAAAGCGUGGGGAGCAAACAGG